UACGGAGGGUCCAAGCGUUAUCCGGAAUCAUUGGGUUUAAAGGGUCCGUAGGCGGUUUUGUAAGUCAGUGGUGAAAGCCCAUCGCUCAACGGUGGAACGGCCAUUGAUACUGCAAGACUUGAAUUAUUGGGAAGUAACUAGAAUAUGUAGUGUAGCGGUGAAAUGCUUAGAGAUUACAUGGAAUACCAAUUGCGAAGGCAGGUUACUACCAAUAUAUUGACGCUGAUGGACGAAGGCGUGGGGAGCGAACAGG
rnacentral:rRNA from 1 species